ensembl:miRNA
CCUGUUGCCACAAACCCGUAGAUCCGAACUUGUGGUGUUAGUCUGCACAAGCUUGUGUCUAUAGGUAUGUGUCUGUUAGG